rnacentral:rRNA from 1 species
GAUCCUGGCUCAGGACGAACGCUGGCGGCGCGCCUAACACAUGCAAGUCGAACGAGCGAGAGAGAGUUUGCUUUCUCGAGCGAGUGGCGAACGGGUGAGUAACGCGUGAGGAACCCGCCUCAAAGAGGGGGACAACAGUUGGAAACGACUGCUAAUACCGCAUAAGCCCACGACCCGGCAUCGGGUAGAGGGAAAAGGAGCAAUCCGCUUUGAGAUGGCCUCGCGUCCGAUUAGCUAGUUGGUGAGG